rnacentral:rRNA from 1 species
UGCAUGUCUGAGUGCAAGCCGCAUUAAGGCGAAACCGCGAAUGGCUCAUUAAAUCAGUUAUGGUUCCUUGGAUGGAAAACAUUUACUUGGAUAACUGUGGCAAUUCUAGAGCUAAUACAUGCAACUCGGUCCCAACCGGAGACGGAAGGGACGCUUUUAUUAGACCAAGACCGAUCGGUCCCACGGGGCCGUCAUACCUGGUGACUCUGAAUAAAAUGUGGCGGAUCGCACGGCCUCCGCGCCGGCGACGCAUCUUUCAAAUGUCUGCCUUAUCAACUGUCGAUGGUAGGUUCUGCGCCUACCAUGGUCGUAACGGGUGACGGGGAAUCAGGGUUCGAUUCCGGAGAGGGAGCCUGAGAAACGGCUACCACAUCCAAGGAAGGCAGCAGGCGCGCAAAUUACCCACUCCCGGCACGGGGAGGUAGUGACGAAAAAUAACGAUACGGGACUCAUCCGAGGCCCCGUAAUCGGAAUGAGAACACUUUAAAUCCUUUAACGAGUAUCAAUUGGAGGGCAAGUCUGGUGCCAGCAGCCGCGGUAAUUCCAGCUCUAAUAGCGUAUAUUAAAGUUGCUGCGGUUAAAAAGCUCGUAGUCGGAUCUGUGUCCCACGCUGCCGGUUCACCGCCCGUCGGUGUUCAACUGGCAUGAUCGUGCGGACGUCCUGCCGGUGGCCCGAGCCGUGGCGCGGUGUCCUCGCUUCCUGCCGAGGCCCGCGCCCGGGGAGGGCCUGCUCACACCCGUCGCGGUGCUCUUGACCGAGUGUCUCGAUGGGCCGGCACGUUUACUUUGAACAAAUUAGAGUGCUUAAAGCAGGCAGCAGUCGCCUGAAUACCGUGUGCAUGGAAUAAUGGAAUAGGACCUCGGUUCUAUUUUGUUGGUCUUCGGAAGCCCCGAGGUAAUGAUCAAUGGGGACAGUCGGGGGCAUUCGUAUUGCGACGUUAGAGGUGAAAUUCUUGGAUCGUCGCAAGACGGACAAAAGCGAAAGCAUUUGCCAAGCAUGUUUUCUCUGAUCAAGAACGAAAGUUAGAGGUUCGAAGGCGAUCAGAUACCGCCCUAGUUCUAACCAUAAACGAUGCCAGCCAGCAUUCCGCCGAAGUUCCUCCGAUGACUCGGCGGGCGGCUCCCGGGAAACCAGAGCUUUUAGGUUCCGGGGGAAGUAUGGUUGCAAAGCUGAAACUUAAAGGAAUUGACGGAAGGGCACCACCAGGGGUGGGUCCUGCGGCUCAAUUUGACUCAACACGGGUAAUCUCACCAGGCCCAGACACUAGGAGGAUUGACAGAUUGAUAGCUCUUUCUUGAUACAGUGGGUGGUGGUGCAUGGCCGUUCAUAGUUGGUGGAUCGAUUUGUCUGCUUAAUUGCGUUAACGAACGAGACUCUAGCCUGCUAACUAGUCGCACACGGCAUCCCGAGCUGCCGGCGAAGCUAGAUCUUCUUAGAGGGACAGGCGGCUUCUAGCCGCACGAGAUUGAGCAAUAACAGGUCUGUGAUGCCCUUAGAUGUUCUGGGCCGCACGCGCGACACAAUGAAGGGAUCAACGUGUUUUCCCUGGCCGAGAGGCCCGGGUAACCCGCUGAAACCCCUUCGUGCUAGGGAUUGGGGCUUGCAAUUUUUCCCCAUGAACGAGGAAUCCCCAGUAAGCGCGAGUCAUCAGCUCGUGCUGAUUACGUCCCUGCCCUUUGUACACACCGCCCGUCGCUACUACCGAUUGAAUGAUUUAGUGAGGUCUUCGGACCGGCGGGCGAGGGGGUCUCCGCCUUCUCGACUUCGCCGGGAAGAUGCCCGAACUUGAUCAUUUAGAGGAAGUAAAAGUCGUAACAAGGUUUUC